GUCGUAGUCGUGGUCGUAGCCAUAGUCAUCGUCGUUGGCCGUCGGAAUGCCUUCCUUUACCUCAACCCCCCCCCCUUCCCCCACCUACUUCUCUCUCCGAUUAUAAUGCCUUCGUCUACUAACGAGUUGUCAUUGAAAGUGUUCAAGAUCUAGUGCAGUAAACGGCCAUAUAAAUACCUUCACGUAAAUACAAUGAGGCAGCUGUAUAUAUCGAGGCCGUCACGACGACUUCUGGAAUGAGACUUCUACUCGCGCUAGGUGAACGUUUUUUUCCCUCUCGUUUCUCGAGAUUCAAGGAUUCCAAACACUACUUGACCCAGAUCUUCGUUAAACUUCGACCAAGCGCGGCGUAAACAACUCGGUAGUACUAUUUCUAGAUAUACAUACGUAGGCCUUCACGAGACUAUCCCCCAUCAUCCACAUCAUCGCCUCCCUAUUUUCUAACCGAGCAGGAGGAGAACCCUUCAUCAAUCGGAUCACAAGUAGAGCGUGCACAUCGCCUAUUGCAGAGAGGGUCCUUCUUUUGCUCUUAAUUCUCUUUACGAACAACGGCGACCAUCUACACGAUACUGUUACUCUCAAAUGAAACUCUCUCUUUCUCUUUCUCUCUCUCUCUCUCUCUCUCUCUCUCCCUCUCCUUUUCUCUUCUAUUUUAUUGUCUUUCUUCGUUAAUCACAAUAUUACUUUGUCGUCCGAGUUUUGAAAACAAAAAGGAAAGAGAAAAGUAAUAAAAAAAUAAAGGAAAAAAUCGUCACAAGAUAAGAAACAAUAAGUAAUAAGGAUUAUAUAUAUAUAUAUAUAUAUUUUUUUUUUUUCGUCCGUACAAUUAAUAAAAAAUUAUGUCAUUGUGUCGAGAUCAGGUGAUUCUUUCUUUUCUUUUUUCUUCUUUUGCGCAUAAAAAUAUUGCAAAGGGUUCUACGGCUUAACUUUACGCUCUUGAUUCUGCUUAAGCUCGCUAAGAGAGCGUAUUUCGUAGCAACGGACAUGCGCAUGCGUUCGUAAACGACGUCGCAGUGAGCGUAAGUAAGUAAGUAAGUAAGUAAGUAAGUAAGUAAGUAAGUAAGUAAGUAAGUAAUAAGUACUUAUCCGCGGAGUAAUAAAAUAAAUUACGAGAGUUUUCUUGGCUGAUCCAGAUUCCGUCACGAAAUCGAAACGUUCUAAAAAGAGAAUCGAUUUACUUAUCGAAAGAGAAAAAGAAAAAAAAUAAAACACGAAAGUAAAAGAAGACGAAGAAGAAUUAAAAUAUCCGCGUUGCGUUACUAUUUCUAUCUACAUAUAUAUAUAUAUAUAUAUAGAUAGAUAGAUAGAUAGAUAGAUAGAUAAAU